CCUACGGGUGGCAGCAGUGGGGAAUAUUGCACAAUGGGGGAAAGCCUGAUGCAGCGACGCCGCGUGAGUGAAGAAGUAAUUCGUUAUGUAAAGCUCUAUCAGCAGGGGAGAAAAUGACGGUACCUGAGUCAGAAGCCCCGGCUAACUACGUGCCAGCAGCCGCGGUAAUACGUAGGGGGCCAGCGUUAUCCGGAUUUACUGGGUGUAACGGGAGCGUAGACGGCAGUGCAAGUCUGGAGUGAAAGGCGGGGGCUCAACCCCCGAACUGCUCUGGAAACUGUACGGCUGGAGUGCAGUAGAGGUAAGUGGAAUUCGUGGUGUAGCGGUGAAAUGCUUAGAUAUCAGGAGGAACACCAGUGGCGAAGGCGGCUUACUGGACUGUAACUGACGUUGAGGCUCGAAAGUGUGGGGAGCAAACAGGAUUAGAUACCCGAGUAGUC
rnacentral:rRNA from 1 species